rnacentral:rRNA from 1 species
UACGUAGGUGGCAAGCGUUGUCCGGAAUUAUUGGGCGUAAAGAGCGCGCAGGCGGUCCUUUAAGUCUGAUGUGAAAGCCCACGGCUCAACCGUGGAGGGUCAUUGGAAACUGGGGGACUUGAGUACAGAAGAGAAGAGUGGAAUUCCACGUGUAGCGGUGAAAUGCGUAGAGAUGUGGAGGAACACCAGUGGCGAAGGCGACUCUUUGGUCUGUAACUGACGCUGAGGCGCGAAAGCGUGGGGAGCGAACAGG